CUGCAGAUAGCCUGUAAGUAGCAGGGAAAUGCGCCACUUAAGCUUCAUUAACCCUGAUGACAGUAUGGGAGGCUGACCACAAACACACAAAAAGGUAAAAUGUCGUGUCCUUUAAACUUGGUUUAGCCCAAUGUUCUUAAUUGUCUGGUAGUCUGGGGCUUUUCUUUGUGUUUGUUAGUUUUAAAUUUAGUUUCUUUGCUGUUACAUAUGGUGAGAAACGGCCUUUUUUAUCUUGUUGCGUUGAGCAUUUUUGGAGGUUCCCCUCAGCCUGGAGGGGAGGAGUUGAGUAUUGUUUUGUUUUGUUUUGUUUUGUUUUGUUCCUAAACUCUACAAAUAAUAGAAGAAAUAAUAUUGUUUGUAUUGGGUGCACCUGCUUCCCUAAACCAGAGCGAGGUGUUUUGUGUGUUUUUUUUUCUCUCCUCCCCCACUCUCCUUUUAUCUUGGCUGCAUGAGCUUUGUUGUUUGGUGGGAAUUUAAGUGGCUCCUGCUUUCUUAGGGAACUUCCUAUCCCAGGGAAUUCAGAAAUUCUCCCCAGGGGCCCCCAGAAACUGUAUUGUAUUAUUGCCUCCACUCCACCCCCUUUCCACAUAAGCCGCAUAAACAUGCACCCAAACACACGAGACGUUUUUAAAGGAGCAAAAGAAACGUAAUCCUGCAAAGGUUUCCUGGGAAUAUGUGCAUUUAUGAGUGUGCAUUUGUGAUUGGAGGUGCUUUGACACUCAUGUGUGCAUGUUACUUCAGGAGAAAUGGAAGUCUGUGUGGUUUUCUGUACGCAUUUUCUUUAGUCUUGAAUACAACAAAAGUAAAUGCUAUAAUUUCUUUUCUUGCUCCUUUUGCUCUUCUCCAACUUACAAGACAGCCCCAGGUGAUUGGCUCCUUGACCCUCCUUCUUUGACCCACACCCAUCUUUCCCCAGAGUGAGG
rnacentral:lncRNA from 1 species